GACGAACGCUGGCGGCGUGCCUAAUACAUGCAAGUAGAACGCUGACGGAGGAGCUUGCUUCUCUGGAUGAGUUGCGAACGGGCGAGUAACGCGUAGGUAACCUGCCUGGUAGCGGGGGAUAACUAUUGGAAACGAUAGCUAAUACUGCAUAAUAUUGACUAUUGCAUGAUAGUCAGUUGAAAGGUGCAACUGCACCUCUACCAGAUGGACCUGCGUUGUAUUAGCUAGUUGGUGGGGUAACGGCUCAGCAAGGCGACGGUACAUAGCCGACCUGAGAGGGUGAACGGCCCAACUGGGACUGAGACACGGCCCAGACUCCUACGGGAGGCAGCCGUAGGGAAUCUUCGGACAUGGACGGAAGUCUGACCGAGGAACGCCGCGGGGGUGGAGAAGGUUUUCGGGUCGGAAAACUCUGUUGUGAGAGAAGAACGGGUGUAAAGGUGGAAAGCUCACACUGUGACGGUAUCUGACCAGAAAGGGACGGCUAACUACGUG
rnacentral:rRNA from 1 species